rnacentral:misc_RNA from 1 species
GAUGAAGAACGUAGCGAAAUGCGAUAAAUAAUGUGAAUUGCAGAAUUCAGUGAAUCAUCGAGUCUUUGAACGCACAUUGCGCCCCCUGGUAUUCCGGGGGGCAUGCCUGUCCGAGCGUCAUUGCUGCCCUCAAGCACGGCUUGUGUGUUGGGCCCCGUCCCCGGUACCCCCGGGGACGGGCCCGAAAGGCAGCGGCGGCACCGCGUCCGGUCCUCGAGCGUAUGGGGCUUUGUCACCCGCUCCGCAGGCCCGGCCGGCGCCAGCCGACCAACCCAACCAUUUUCUACAGGUUGACCUCGGAUCAGGUAGGGAUACCCGCUGAACUUAAGCAUAUCAAUAAGCGGAGGA